GACGAACGCUGGCGGCGUGCCUAAUACAUGCAAGUAGGACGCAGUUGCGAACGGGUGAGUAACGCGUAGGUAACUACCUAUUAGAGGGGGAUAACUAUUGGAAACGAUAGCUAAUACCGCAUACUAGUAGAUGGACCUGCGUUGUAUUAGCUAGUAGGUAGGGUAAUGGCCUACCUAGGAAACCAUACAUCGCCGACCUGUGAGGGUGACCGGUCACACUUGGACUGAGACACGGCCCAGACUCCUAAGGGAGGCAGCAGGAGGGAAUCUUCGGCAAUGGUGGGAACCCUGUCCGAGCAACGCCGCGUGAGUGAAGAAGGUUUUCGGAUCGUAAAGCUCUGUUGUUAAGGAAGCGGUACUUAACCAGAAAGGGACGGCUAACUACGUACCAGCAGCCGCGGUAAUAC
rnacentral:rRNA from 1 species